UUCCAUCACAUGCCACUAGAAUAACAUACUUAGUGGAUUUUGCUACUAUUAUUUAUGAACUUUCUUUUUCUUAAAACCUAUCUUUUUUUCUCCCCCUUUCACCCUUUGUCCCCAAAAUUCUAUAUCUGCAAUUCAUGAUCCGGAUAGAUAGCAGCUUCUAGUUUUAUUCACGACGAUGGUGAUCUUAGCCGAGAUUGAUACAGCACUGCCGCAGCUCGCCUGCAAAAUUGUCUUCCAUGGUGAAGGUGCAGCAUUAUGUGGCAUCUGGAGCAUGUUCCAAAAUAGCUGCAACAAUAUUCAUGAAAUUUGUGCUUAUCUGUGAGACAAAUUAGUCUUUUUUUUUCCUUAAUCAACACACAU
rnacentral:lncRNA from 1 species